CUUAAUUUAUUUACAUAUUUCAUUUUUCACAUCUUGUUUUUGUGUUUUUGUUUUUGUUUUUGUUCUUGCAUUCAUUGGGCAUAUACUCAACUAGAUAUACAAUUAUAUUAUUUCCAUUGCUACAACUAAUUGAAUAAUGGUUAAAUAUUCAAGUAUGUAUGUAUGUAUGUAUUUAUGUAUAUAUGUGGUAGAAAUCGUCAUAAACACCAUUAUUGUUGUUAUUAUCAUAAUUUUUUCAUAAUCAUUAUCACUAAAUUACUAAAUAUUUAUUGUUUAUUAUUAUUAUUAUUAUUAAAAUUAUGAAUCAUCGAGAAUUGAAGUAUAUUAUACACAACAAGCCAUAUCAUUAAUCGUGUUUCAAAAAUUAUACAUGUAUUCAUCCUUUUCAUAUUUUACCUUAUUCUCUACUAUUUUAUUUAAAAAAAACUUUUAGACAUUUCAAUAGUUUAAAUAUAUAAUUACAUAAACAAAUAGAGUAGACAGUAAAGUUGCAGAAAAAAUUACCCAAUAUAAACUGCAUAGUAAAAGUAAAUAUUAAUUAUAUUGUAUCUUUGCUUACUGAACAUUUUUUAAAGUUUAAUUUUCUCAUAUAUAUAUAUAUAUAUAUACAUAUAGUGUAUAUAUGUAUGUAUGUAUAGUAUGCAUCGUCUUCAUUAUCAUCUUAAUCAAUUUUGUCGAAUGCACAUACACAUACACAUGUGUGUACGUAUGCAUGUUUAAAUACAGGUAUGUAUGUUUAAAUGUACAUAUAUGUUAGUGUUAAUUAAUGGCUUAGAAUUAGCUACUUUAUGUAUAUUUAUAUGAAUCACAAUUAUUUUUUGUUGUUGUAUCAGUUAUUAUUGAUGUAUGUAAACGUGCAAUACAUACUUCGCAAUAAUUAUAUCAGAUUCUUUUCGUUAGAAGACGAGCCAUUUUGCGUUAAGACAGGCUCCAUAUAUUUAAUGAUUUGUUUUUUUUUUAUAUUAAUUUUAACAUUUUAAAUAAUAGUUUGUGAUACCCAGUUGGUUGCAUUACAAAAAUUAAAAUAUUAUGCAACAUUUUAAGACUUGUUUUACCAGGUUCUACUACUGACUAAUGGUAAUGGCGGAUGGAUGCAUCUUAUAUAAGUUUCCAUUUUGAUUUGCAACAAGAUUGCAUUGCUGUUACUCUCAAAUACUAAGCGCGAUACAUACACAUAAACUUAUUCCUAUACUAUAUACUAUAUACAUGCCUGUGUGUACCUAUGUUGUUAUAGUAGGAUUAAAAGUGGUAAUUUAUUACUUUUUUAGAAUUUGGGAAGUUUUUGCUUUAAAAUGUUCUUAUUUCUUCGUCUCUUCCGGCUAAUCGAUAUCUACUGAACAAAUCGUUGUUGCACUAAAUAAUUGGGAUGAAAUUGAUUUUUCUUUUUUGAUAAUCAUAAAUAACUUGUAACUUGGAGGAAAGCUUUUCGUUAAUUUGUUUACUACAAAACAACUACACAAAAGAUGGUAAAGUGUCCAAAGAUGAGUGCACCAAUCGAUUAAUGGUUAGAGUUUGACGAUAUACAUAUGUAUGUACACAUAAGUACAUACACUGGCGACAUAUUAUUUAAAUGGUGCUAGGUAUUACAUACAUAUGUAGCUAUCAAUAUGUAUAUUAAUUUUCUGUAUUUAUCUUUCUAUUUCUUUUUUUUUGUAUUCAAUUCAACACAGAAAUAUUCUUCUUCACGCAUUUUGGAAUCGUUUAAUAAUAAUUUCCAACAGAAUUUUCAUAACGGAAUAACCAUGGUAUGCUUUUGAAAGAAGACACUAUAUUCUGACCAUUUUCGGCGGACAAAAAAAAAUUAUAUUCCAGCACCUCUGAGUCUUGUGUUGUUUGCACUCGUAGGUCAGACGUAAUAGAAAAAAGCUUUGUUCAACGAAAAUGGAUUUCACAUACAUUUACCCACAUGCAUGCAUCUUAGUUAUUCUAUUCCAUAGAAAAUUUUUGAAUUUGUUGGAGUGUGCAAACUAUUUUCCUAAGGUAUAAAUUACUAUUCGUACUUUGUGAUCAUAAAUACAUGGAAUUUAGUUUAUUUUCAAAUCGGGCUAUAAAUAUUGUGUGUUUGAAUGUCGUGGUGGUGAACAGUUAUAGAGAGGUUCGACUUAAAUCAGGCGUUCGAACUGCCCGAUUCUAUUCUUUGUCAAGAUAAAAUAGAUACAAGUGCAGCUUAAUAUUAAUAACAUAUAAUAUUAAUAUAUUAUUUAUAUUAUAUAUAAAAUAUAUGACAAUUUGUCUGUAUGUAAAUGUGGACGUGGGUUGUGCUUAGGGACCAUCUUUUUUCAGGGUAUAUGUAAAUUGAAAAGAAAUGUAUGUCAUUUUAUUAAUUUGCCGACAGCAGUUACUAAAUAUAAGUAUGUUUGUGAAUUUAAUUUCAAUGGGUCGAUUUAAUAAAUC